AUACGACCGUAUCACGUUGAAACACCGGUUUCCGUACGAUCACCGAAGUUAAGCAACGUCAAACUUGGUCACUACCUAGAUGGGUAACCGCUUGGGAAUACCAAGUGAUGUAUG
rnacentral:rRNA from 1 species